rnacentral:tRNA from 1 species
GGUGGUAUGGUCUAGGGGUAGGAUACCGCAUUGUGGUGAAACUCAAUGCUGCGUUGGCCCCGGUUCGAAUCCGGGUACCGCCA